GGAAUCUUGGACAAUGGGGGCAACCCUGAUCCAGCGACGCCGCGUGGGUGAUGAAGGCCUUCGGGUUGUAAAGCCCUUUCGACGGGGACGAUGAUGACGGUACCCGGCGAAGAAGCACCGGCUAACUCCGCGCCAGCAGCCGCGGUAAGCCGGAGGGUGCUAGCGUUGUUCGGAAUCACUGGGCGUAAAGGGCGCGUAGGCGGCCUUUGGUGUCGGAUGUGAAAGCCCGGGGCUCAACCCCGGAGGUGCGGCCGAUACUCCCUGGCUGGAGGCCGGAAGAGGAGGGUGGAAUACCCAGUGUAGAGGUGAAAUUCGUAGAUAUUGGGUGGAACACCGGUGGCGAAAGCGGCUCUCCGGUCCGGACCUGACGCUGAGGCGCGAAAGCGUGGGGAGCAAAC
rnacentral:rRNA from 1 species